UCUUCAUGUCUCAAUAACAGAGCGUGUUUUGUCUGCACCUGUCUGUUUGAGUGUGCUUUGGGUUGUUUCUGUACACUUGUAUACAGUUUCCUGUGGCUUGUUAUGUCUGGGUUCUUUGAAAGGACGUAAGGUCUUUUUCUUCUGUGUUUCAGAUCUUCGAGAAUAAAGGUGCCAUGAUGGGCUGCUCAAAACCCCUUCCUAACUGUCAGGAAGCCUGUCACUGUCGUGCCGUGACAGCACAGCAAGUCAAACUCUCUGGGUUGGCCCACACUGAGCUCCCUGUCACUGAAUGCAUGAAGUGUUUAUGGCUGUGUGUUACACGAGGGGGCAGUAGAGAAUUUUCAGAUGGAUUGACAUACACCUCAUCACAUCUGAUCUCUGGUGCCGAUGGACUAACUUGUUAAGUUCUGAUUGAUAUGGUUUAGUUGGUUGGAGAAAGUCAACUUUUUGUGCAAUUGUACGAAAUGUAAUGCAUUUCUGUAAUGCAGCAACAAAAAUGAAUGCAGUGCUACUAUCAGUAACAGAAACGAAAUAAAACUGAAUGCAAAUAUGUUUUUUUAGCUGAAGGAAA